CUCAUGAGAGUUUAUCUGGUUUUUGAAAAAGCAGUUGGGAUGCAUUGUCAGUUUCUUGAUGGAAGAAACUGACAAUACAAUGCUUUAUAUAUCAGAUAUUUUGGUCCCUUCUGAUGCACGAAUCAUUCUCAUCAAUUAGUCCCAUCACUAAGAGGAUGCUAAAGGUGAAAUCAGGAGAAGACUAAGAUAGAAAACUCAACUGUGUCAAGAAAGCUGUCAUGGACAAUGCAAGUGCAUCGAGUGAGGUUCUUGCUGAGAUAUGGAAGGGAAUAUAACAAGCUUUAGAAGCUAAUUGCAUUUGUGAAAGUCACUCAGUAGCCACAUGCUCCUUCAGGUUGAUCUACCUGUUUUCAAAUUGUUUGUGCUGCCAAGGAUAUUGAAAGCCUGGAUGAAGUGAAGAGAGGUUCAAGGAAGAGUAGUUGUUCGCCUUUAGUAAUAUUGUUCUCAUUUUAUUCUUGUGUUUUAAUGAAUGGAUGAUUAAGAAAUACUACAUUUAUAGUACAUUUGAUGCUUUAAUGUAUGGAUUAGAGUACUUCAUUGAUGAAUUGCAUUUAGAUUUCUUUCUAAUAU
rnacentral:lncRNA from 1 species